ensembl:lncRNA
CUGGCGCUGAGAGAGCUCGGCGCUUCGAAUGCGCAGAUGCCAGGACUGUGUCGGCGCACGGUGGAGAAUGGCUAGACCUCGGAAGGAAGAUGGUUGCUGUAAAGAAUCCGCCAGUCAAUGCAGAAGAUGGGCUUGUAUCCCUGAGUGGGAAAGAUCCCCUGAAGGAGGAAAUGGCAACCUGCUUCAGUUUUCUUGCCUGGGAGAUCCCAUGGACAGAGAAGCCUGGCAGGCUACAGUCCUUGAGGACACAAAGAGUCAGACACGACUUAGCGACUAAACAACCACCAUUGAGUCGGCUCUUCACAUCAAAAUAUUGGAACUUCAGCAUCAGUUUUUCCAGUGAAUAUUCAGGGUUGAUUUUAGGGGCCUACCAAAAAGUCUUUUAAAAUCAGAAAUAAACAUUAAUUUUUGGUCAAAGGAAAUGUUUAAUUCAAAGAAACUCAUCUUAUUACUAUACCUAAAGAAUCACGAAAUACUGUUAUUUUUAUUUUCUGUUUAUUGAUGAAGUUCUAACACAGCCCCGCAUUGUACCCAAAUCAAAUCAGAUUUCAGUCCAGCCUUAUUCCUCUUCAGUGGGACUUGUGAAAACAGCACUGUACCUGCUGACCUUAGGUGAAACUGUGGUAAACUCUGACUUUCCCUCAUGUGAGUUUUCCAUGACCCCAGGAUGAAGUGGAACAUUUCCUUCCCCAGCUGUCUGGGCACCUUGAAAAUGAAGUUUGAACACAUAUUUUGGUCUCCUAAUAAAACUUCCCUCCCCAGACUCUUUGUAAAUAAGCAUUAAAAAGUUUGAGUG